rnacentral:lncRNA from 1 species
CAGUCUGGCGGGAAUGAUAACCAAAACCUUAGAGUCCUUCGGAUAAGCUACCUGCGGAUCAGGGGGGAAGUCAUUGCAAGCUGAACAGAAGGCUUUGUGUUGAAGGACAGCCAUUGAAGUUCAAAAGGCUUAGCCGAGGUCAAGCUGGCAAUGUCAGGCUGAGGAAGUGAACUGUGGAAUAAGGUGCAGAGGGAAGGACCACACAUCACCACUCUGGCUGGCCAGACCCCAGCAGAAUGGCCGAGUAAACAUGCUUUGAGAUGGGCACAGGCAGGGUCCAGAACUGAAACCCGGUGGAGAGAGGAAGGAUCUUAUGGGUCAAGUGAAGCUGAUUAAAACGUAGAGGAACAUGGACAACAGGUGGUUUUCCUUCGCAUCAGCACUACACACCUGGAGAUGCAGACAUCCUGACCCACCCAGGAGCUGCCUCGGUCAUGGGCUGACUGCAGAAAAGAUGCUUCAGAUGGAUAGGUUGAGACACAUGCCCUGAGAGGGAGUCUACACCUGAUCCUUCCUGGAGGGCCAGGAUCCAGAGGCUAGAGAACCCAGAGACUCACGAUUGAACUACACACAAAUAUGAAACAACAACAACAACAACAACAAAAAAGGUAAUGAAAUGAUUCCUAAGAAUACUCUGCUAUACUUUUAGAUUGAUGCCUAGCCCAAUUGUCAUCAGAGAGGCUUUACCCAGCAACUGAUGGGAACAGAUAAGACCUCUAGCCAAACAUUAGCAGAAGCUUAGAAUCUCAUGGAACAGGAGUAGAAAAAAUUGUAGGAUUAGCAGAUAAGGGAGGAUUAAGAGACCUGAGGUCAGUAGAAUUUUAGUGAAAUCCUUGGAAACAUCUCACCACCAGGAGACAAAGGAACAAGAAGGACAUCAGAUGGCAUACUAAACAAAUGUAGUUCCAAUGAUUCCUGGAAGGAUUGAUCGCUAGGAAAUAAGUGAGACUCUAGUGAUGGAACUGUCAGUCUCCUUGAACAUCUAGGCCAGGAGCCGUAUAGAGACACAGAGGGAGAGGCAUCCCUCCUGCCAUUAGAAGUAAAGAAGAUG